rnacentral:lncRNA from 1 species
AAAUAUUGUUAAUGGAAAGAAUUGGAGGGAGCUCAACCAACGUGAGUCGAAGUGCAAUCCAAAAAUAUAAUCAUCAUUGAAAAGGAAAAAGACACAACUCGCACAUAGGUUAGGCUACUAUGGUGAGCGAGCGUUGCCCCUUUUCAUUUUCAAUAAAUAUUGAUUACCCAUUCAUUUGUCUCUGCCUGCAAGUCAUCCUCCCAAAAGGUAGGCUAUAUCCUAUAGGCCUAUGCCAGUGUCACUGUCAUCAUUCUUGCUGCUUCCAGUUCAGUAGCCAUACCUGCGAGAUCAGGUGCGAGUGUGAUCUCAAAAUAGAGUAGGCUAUAGCCUAUGCAUGGGUGGAGAAGCACUGUCAGUUAUCUUUCCAAGGAAAUGUACUUCCAUAAUAGGCCUAUGAUUAGGCUAUAGUUUACUACAACAGAAUGAGUCACAACAAAACAUGUUAUAACCGUGUAUGUGUGUGGUAGGCUAACUGACGGUAUUUGUCACAGGGGAAGACUCCAGAUAAUGAGGCAUAUUUCCAGGAGAACAUACUAUUGCUUGCCUCUGACAUAAUUUCCUGUGUUUUGAUUGAUUGUGUGUUGUUGAGUUGGGGCUAGAAGACAAAUAGUAGUGUGAUUGAAUAUCAUGGGUGCCUGCUAAAACUAACGCAGGGGAUUUCCUUAGGGGAUAGAAUAUAAUAUUAUCGUUGCCCAUUUUGAAGGUGGCUAACUGAAUUGCUCUAUCCAGUCUCAGAGAGACUUUUAUCAGUCAUAGACUAUACCUGCAAUAUAGUCACAACCUUUACCCACUACACCAAGCAGGUUGAUAUGGCCUGUACAGAAAGGGAACAGAUUGGCGAGCAGUUAAAGUAUGUAUUCUUUUUGGAAGGGGAUACAUUUGAUAGACAUUAGGAAUAUUCCAAACCCCACCAGAUUGUACAAUUGUGUCCUAAUAUCUGAAUAACUAUCAAUUUAGAAGAAUAGAUCAAAUAGAAGUAUCAUUGCUUUGUUUUUCUAAAUAAUCUGACUAACUGUUAUCACUGGGUUGACGUGUCACUAUUUGGAGUUUCUGACAUGUAGUUAAAAAAAACUCUGUCAUUCCAACAGACCAAUUUGGUUUCAAUUUCGACCACAUUAAAACACUGCUCUGAUGUUUACGGAAGACAGGUUAUAAAUAACCACUGGGAGUCAGUCCGACAUACAGCAGGCAGAACGAGAGUUUUAAGAAUCAGAAGAACACUCGCUCAUUCACCGCGAAUUUAUAACUUAAUACUUCGCCAACUGGCGCAGGCGUAGUACACGAGGAACCGCCCCUGCACUGCAGAGGAGGAGCCGUGACAUAUGCUACCUGCCACCUUUGAUGUAAUUUGUCAAACUGAGAAAACUCAAGUCACAUGACAAAAGGUUGUUGUCUUCCCAUUUUUUUGGCAUCAAAGUUAUGUCCUUUACCACUACAUGAGUGUUGCUGCUUUCUAGAGGUUUGUUUUAAUGUUUUUGCAAUGAAAAUUCUCAUUCUCAAUGUCCUGUUAGGGCUGACUGUGCAUUGCACUCUUCUGGGAAAUUAUACGUUCAUAAACUGUUUUUAAAUUGCAUAGAACUUACACAUCAAUAUUGUCACAUUUGUGUAAUGGAGGAUGUUGCAGCUAUACACUCACUUCCUGUUGUGGUUUGUUUGUUUAUUUUUGCUUAGGGAGAUGGCGAACAGCAAUGCCAAGCUGUGUGUGUCUGUUUUGGGUUCAUUGUGGAGAUGAGCUGGAGGUUGAGGGAGCUUCAAUCCUGGGGACUGAUGGAAAGGAAGAUGCUAUAUAGAGUCUGGUGGGGCUGCUGCUGAGAGGAGUGGGAGACAAACUCAAUGAGGAGGAGGAAGCUUUUGUGAAUGAUGAUGAGGAAGUCGACUGAGCCAGAGGGAUUUUCCCCAUUCUAUACCCCCAUUGUCUUCUUCCCGAUUAUACACUUUUUUCCCAAAGUAUGCACUUGCGCAUUUUCUGUCAUGGAUCAGAAUUUGAUUGGCGUAAUUAUUGGCUAAAGGGAGUUCCCACCAUUGUUAAAUCUAUGACGGGAAAGGGUGGAUAAUUGGGAUCUAGCUCUCUAACCCCAGCCCUAACCCCUAGAGAAGUUUCAACUCAGGGUAAUGUAUUGCUAUUAUUGCAUGCCCAAUUAAACAUUGAUUUUGCACAAAGAAACAUGUACAUAGACAUAUAGAUGACUGUCUUCCAGAGCCAUAGGAUAUGAGGGAAACUGUUCAUCUCAAGCCCCAUUCCAUCUUUUGAAUUAUAAAUGUAUAUGAUAUAAGAAUGUAUAUGAAACUACAGUAUUCAGGUGUUUUUGUUACAUUUUAAUUGGGACUAUAGGAAUGUAAAAAAUAGACAAAUCUGUUGAAUGAAACCUAUUUACUUGUAUAAUUUUACAUUAUAUUUAGUUAUUUACUUUAUUUUUUAUUGUAAGAAUAAUGAUGAUGAUGAGACUGCGUACCAUUGAUCUAGCCUUGUCACGCCGUGAUCUGUUACACCUGUCCUUGUGCUUGUCUCCUCCUCCCCCCAGGUGUCGCCAAUCUUCCCUAUUAUCACCUGUGUAUUUAUACCUGUGUUCUCUGUCUUGUUUGUUGCCAGUUUGUCUUGUUCGUUCAAGCUUACCAGCGGUUUUCCUGUCAGCGGCUAUUGUUUCCAACCCUUGCUUUGCUAGUCCUCCUGGUUUUGACCGAUGCCUGACAUCUCUGCCUGAGCCUGCACCUUUGCUCCACCUCUGGAUUACUGAACCCUGCCUGACCCUGAGUCUGCCUGCCGUCCUGUACCUUUGCCUAACCCUUGAUUUUCGACCCCUGCCUGCCUUGACCUGUCUUUGCAUGUCCCUGUUUGCUACAAUAAACAGGGUUACUUCGACAGUCUGCAUCUGGGUCUUACCUUGAUUCUUGAUAAGCCUAUACUGUCAGAUCCAAAUAAUGUUUACAUAAAGCAACAUUGCCAAAGAUGUCAACAUUCCAGACCUCCAGGACAUGUCCUCAUUUGAUCCAGAGAUGGAACCACUGGUUAAAUCGUGACUGGACCAAAGACUGGGGCAGAUCUACUGGGCUCCUGAGUGGCGCAGAGGUCUAAGGCACUGCAUCUCAGUGCUAGAGGUGUCACUACAGACCCUGGUUUCGAAUCCAGGCUGUUUCACAACUGGCCAUGAUUGGGAGUCUGCACAAUUGGCCCAGCGUCAUCCGGGUUUGGCCGGGGUAGGCCGUCAUUGUAAAUAAGAAUUUGUCCUUAACUGACUUGCCUAGUAAAAUAAAAAAAUACUGAAAAGA